rnacentral:rRNA from 1 species
UACGUAGGGUGCAAGCGUUAAUUCGGAAUUACUGGGCGGUAAAGCGAUGCGCAGGCGGUUGUGCAAGACAGAUGUGAAAUCCCCGGGCUCACCUGGGAAAUUGCAUUUGUGACUGCAACGGCUAGAGUGUGUCAGAGGGGGGGUAGAAUUCCUACGUGUAGCAGUAGAAAUGCGUAGAGAUGUGGAGGAAUACCGAGUGGCGAAGGCAGCCCCCUGGGGAUAACACUGACGCUCAUGCACGAAAGGCGUGGGG